GAUGAACGCUGGCGGCGUGCCUAAUACAUGCAAGUCGAGCGAACAGAUAAGGAGCUUGCUCCUUUGACGUUAGCGGCGGACGGGCGAGUAACACGUGGAUAACCUACCUAUAAGACUGGGAUAACUUCGGGAAACCGGAGCCAAUACCGGAUAAUAUUUCGAACCGCAUGGUUCGAUAGUGGAAGAUGGUUUUGCUAUCACUUAUAGAUGGACCCGCGCCGUAUUAGCUAGUUGGUAAGGUAACGGCUUACCAAGGCGACGAUACGUAGCCGACCUGAGAGGGUGAUCGGCCACACUGGAACUGAGACACGGUCCAGACUCCUACGGGAGGCAGCAGUAGGGAAUCUUCCGCAAUGGGCGAAAGCCUGACGGAGCAACGCCGCGUGAGUGAUGAAGGUCUUCGGAUCGUAAAACUCUGUUAUUAGGGAAGAACAUACGUGUAAGUAACUGUGCACGUCUUGACGGUACCUAAUCAGAAAGCCACGGCUAACUACGUG
rnacentral:rRNA from 1 species